rnacentral:rRNA from 1 species
ACGUAGGGCGCGAGCGUUGUCCGGAUUUAUUGGGCGUAAAGAGCUCGUAGGCGGUUUGUCGCGUCGGGAGUGAAAACUCAGGGCUUAACCCUGAGCCUGCUUCCGAUACGGGCAGACUAGAGGUAUGCAGGGGAGAACGGAAUUCCUGGUGUAGCGGUGAAAUGCGCAGAUAUCAGGAGGAACACCGGUGGCGAAGGCGGUUCUCUGGGCAUUACCUGACGCUGAGGAGCGAAAGUGUGGGGAGCGAACAGG